ACAGCAGCCACCGCGGUAAUACGUAGGUGGCAAGCGUUGUCCGGAAUUAUUGGGCGUAAAGGGCUCGCAGGCGGUUUCUUAAGUCUGAUGUGAAAGCCCCCGGCUCAACCGGGGAGGGUCAUUGGAAACUGGGAAACUUGAGUGCAGAAGAGGAGAGUGGAAUUCCACGUGUAGCGGUGAAAUGCGUAGAGAUGUGGAGGAACACCAGUGGCGAAGGCGACUCUCUGGUCUGUAACUGACGCUGAGGAGCGAAAGCGUGGGGAGCGAACAGGAUUAGAUACCCCUUAGUCCCUGUCUCUUAUACA
rnacentral:rRNA from 1 species